UUUACUCAGCCGAAAAGUUGUCGAACUUCCACUGCAAUAAAUUCUACACAUCCUGUAGCUCGAUAACCAUUUCUUAAAAUUUUAAUUUUUUCAUUACUCCUCUCUUACUUUCGUGGCAAAUAUUCACUGCAAUUUCGCACUGCGGAUGAAUAUUAACUGCAUGCAGAACGUGCGAGACACGUGCUUCGAUGAUAAUCGUGCCGGGGUUACAUGUACCGUUCGGUCAAUCGAACGAACGAAUUCAACAGCAACGGCAUCGGCAACAGCAGCAAAAGUAGCAGCAACAGCAUCGGUAUCAAGAUGUGGCAAACCUCGUCUGCGCCUGUAUUUGCGGCCUUGAUCUUUUCCAGCGGUCGUCGGUUAUCCGCGAAUCACAAUUCGCGAUAGUCAGGAUACAGCAAAUACACCAAGGUGACCGGGCGUUAAUACAGUGUGUAAAAAUUUCGGAUUUCGGUAAACCCAAUUUCGGAGUGUGAAUAAAACAAGUGAAGUGGAAGCAGCAGGAGAUUGGAGAAAUCGGAGGAACAUCCUUCAUCCUUCGCAGGCAGCAUCAACGGUGCAAGCUCAUUUUCGGGAUCAAUUUGUGGGUAAUUGGCUUGCUGGAGUUGGCUCGACGCGUCGAAUGGAAAAUAUAUACUAAGGCCGAUUUUGGUAAGAAUACACGUUUCUGAUCAACGUUAAUUUUAAUGUAAGG